rnacentral:rRNA from 1 species
GAUGAACGCUAGCUACAGGCUUAACACAUGCAAGUCGAGGGGUAACGAGAGGAAAGCUUGCUUUCCUUGUCGACGACCGGCGCACGGGUGAGUAACGCGUAUCCAACCUGCCCCCAACUAGGGAAUAACCUUGCGAAAGUAAGACUAAUACCCUAUAAUUUCCUCAGAUGUCAUCUGACGAGGAAUAAAGGUUUAUCGGUUGUGGAUGGGGAUGCGUCUGAUUAGCUUGUUGGCGGGGUAACGGCCCACCAAGGCAACGAUCAGUAGGGGUUCUGAGAGGAAGGUCCCCCACAUUGGAACUGAGACACGGUCCAAACUCCUACGGGAGGCAGCAGUGAGGAAUAUUGGUCAAUGGGCGGAAGCCUGAACCAGCCAAGUAGCGUGCAGGAUGACGGCCCUAUGGGUUGUAAACUGCUUUUAUACAGGAAUAAAGUUAGCCACGUGUGGUUAUUUGUAGGUACUGUAUGAAUAAGGACCGGCUAAUUCCGUGCCAGCAGCCGCGGUAA